rnacentral:rRNA from 1 species
GACAGAGGGUGCAAACGUUGUUCGGAAUUACUGGGCGUAAAGCGCGUGUAGGCGGCUUGGCAAGUCGGGUGUGAAAGCCCCGGGCUCAACCUGGGAAUUGCAUUUGAGACUGCGUAGCUAGGGUGCGGAAGAGGGAAGCGGAAUUUCCGGUGUAGCGGUGAAAUGCGUAGAUAUCGGAAGGAACACCAGUGGCGAAAGCGGCUUCCUGGUCCAGCACCGACGUUCAGGCACGAAAGCGUGGGGAGCAAACAGG